CCUACGGGGGACAGCAGUGAGGAAUAUUGGUCAAUGGACGAGAGUCUGAACCAGCCAAGUAGCGUGAAGGAUGACUGCCCUAUGGGUUGUAAACUUCUUUUAUAUGGGAAUAAAACGUUCCACGUGUGGGAUUUUGUAUGUACCAUAUGAAUAAGGAUCGGCUAACUCCCUGCCAGCAGCCGCGGUAAUACGGAGGAUCCGAGCGUUAUCCGGAUUUAUUGGGUUUAAAGGGAGCGUAGGUGGAUUGUUAAGUCAGUUGUGAAAGUUUGCGGCUCAACCGUAAAAUUGCAGUUGAAACUGGCAGUCUUGAGUACAGUAGAGGUGGGCGGAAUUCGUGGUGUAGCGGUGAAAUGCUUAGAUAUCACGAAGAACUCCGAUUGCGAAGGCAGUUCACUGGACUGCAACUGACACUGAGGCUCGAAAGUGUGGGUAUCAAACAGGAUUAGAUACCCGAGUAGUC
rnacentral:rRNA from 1 species